UUCGUCCAGAAGAGAGCCGCAGCCGCCUCGAGCAAUGGAGUCUGACUCCUCUUUUUCUCUCUGUACGCAACCUCUCCUUUCCUCUUCUCCUAGGGUUGCGCCGCCGCCGCAGCCCAUGCCAGCUACUCCGACGCCAUCCACCGGAGAAAGCGUCCUCCCCAGGUCCGCUUCUCCCCCAAACCAUCUCAUCUUCUUAUUCCACCCGGCCGCCAUGAUUGUUGCAGAGGAGGAGGAAGGGGAUGGCAAAAUCUCGGGAGAGAAAAAAACCGGCAAGCAAGCGAGAAGGAUGUCAUGGUAGAUGUAUGUUGACGAGCCGCUGCUCUGCGACAUCGACGGCCAGCGCCUCACCGCCGCCCCAUCCUCGGCCACGACGGCACUGCCUGGGCACAGUCCGAGCCCUUCCCCGAGGUCAAACCUGAAGAACUUACUGCAGUAAUAAAUGACUUCGAUGAACCACACACUUUGGCACCAACUGGAUUAUUCCUUGGUGGUACAAAGUCGCCAUGAAGGCAACCAACGCAGGCGACCUCCCUCUCUCUCGCUUCCUCUCCCAUGUAACCCGCCACCACUAGCGACAUCACGCUCAAGGCCGUCUUCGAGGACAUCGGCAAGUUCUACCUCAUCAUGGAGCUCUGCAACGGCGGCCGCUUGCUGGACGAGAUGGCCAGGUAUGUUACCUUCUCUGAGUUGCAUGCCACAUUUGUGAUCAAGGAUCUCACGUCAGUGGUGAAGUACUGCCACGAAAUGGGCGUCAUCCACAGGGACAAUAAGCCGGAAUAUAUUUUGCUCACCGGAAACAGGGAAGAUGAAACUAGCAGAUUUUGGAUAGGCAGCAUGAGUCACUAACGGUAUUUUUUUGCUAAUAUCUUAAGCUUUCUUCACACAUCAUGUAGAAUUUUAUAUGGAGCCAUCUUGGUACAGUUAUCUUCUUCGUAAUAGUAAAGGCCAAAGACAAAUUUCCAUGUCUUGGUGCAUUUUAAUUUCAGGUACCACUACAAUGUUGCAAAUGAUAGAUUAUAUUCUUAUAAGCUUAUUUUCCUCAAAAGUUUGAUCUUUAAUAAUGGAUGCUUCCUUCACUUUGACUUUCAAAGUAUAAUAAACAAGAACACCAAAAGGCCACGAAUGUGUAACGAUCUUUGAUUGUUCCUGUUUCUCUUGUUGCUUUGCAUCCGAUUUAUUUUUUAGGAGAAUAAUUCAAACAACCCUUGCCAAUGAAGCAGCAUGGGCUGGAGAAAUAGCGCUAAAACUUCAUUAAGUCGAAGUAGGCAGUAUCCUUUCUGAAUGGCCUUCUUUCUUCCUCAUAUGUCAACUGCAAACAAACAUGCUUCUGCUGAUGCUUAGAAGAAGCCAAGGAGUAUGUGUCCAGAACCUCUUUUAUAUUACCAAGCAAUACAUAUUUUCUGAAUGCACAUGAUAGAACUGAAAGGAUUUUUGUUAUCUUGCAUGAUGCCCUGUUGGUGUGAUACUGAAAAAUUCUGAUGUAUAGGUUUUUCUCAAUGACGGUUCUGACUUAGAUAAUUUAUUAGAAGAAAGAGCAGAAAAAAUUGAGAGGAUGCUGAAAUGACUCAAAUAGAACUACUAGAUCUCCAUGCUAGCAAGCUAAGUAUGUUCGAGGAAAUAAUACGAUGCAGUAAAUUUUCUUGUGAUCGUGGGGAUUGUUUACAGAAUUAGCAAUUUUGAUUCGCUUCAUUGCAAAAAUGAUACCAUUUAGAUUUUAGAAGUAGAAAUAAAUCGACUGUAAGUCCAACAUUUGACCAUAGAAGGUUUCAUAAUCUUCAGUAAUUAGUAUGGUAUUAUAACAUCUAGAAUUGAUGGUUUUACAUAGUUGGUCGGGAUUACUGUUGCUAUGGGUCUCAUGUUUCAAUCAGAAUACACUUCAUUUAGCAAGCACAAAGCGGCUGUGAGCACGCCACCGGCGUUGGGUCGAUGGUGUCAUGCAGCGAGGUAAGCAACGACACCUCCUCUUCCAUCAUUUUUUUCACCAUCUCCAAUUGAGGAGCUUUAUUAGAUUUGCUUGGGUUUGUAUGAAAGGUUGACUAAAAUUUUGAAGGACGUCCCAUAUACUAUAGUGCUUAUAUGUUUGUCUUAAAUUCUUAUGGCUUGAUCUCUGCCCAUAGGAAUUUGACUACUUGCUUUGUUGUCUCUUAAAAUGGAUAAUGGAUAAUACAAAUUUGGUGACUAAGCUUGGCGACUAAACUUGGCAACAAGCUCCCCGUCUAUAUUCUCGCGCACUUCUUGCUGCAUGUAUCCCCCGUCUCUAUUCUUAGGAGACAUGCUGAAGAGUAUCUUCCUCUCGUUGCUUCGCAGGGCAUGUCAAGAACUGGCAGCCAAGGAUCUCCAUGGAACUGAGUGGCAUUUCUUGGUGAUAUUACAAUUUGAGCAUUCGGUUUGAAGCCCCUUUAAAUUUUUAGUCGUUGUGUUAUUGUUUUGGUGUAGCACUUCAUGUCACAGUUGAAUGAUGAAUUCAUUACUUCAUGAGUAUGUGUGGCCUCUCUCCCUCUGUCUGAUUCUAUAUCAUGCCUUCCAAUGUUUUGUGUUUCAGAUGCCCUAA